rnacentral:rRNA from 1 species
UACGAAGGGGGCUAGCGUUGCUCGGAAUUACUGGGCGUAAAGGGUGCGUAGGCGGGUCUUUAAGUCAGAGGUGAAAUCCUGGAGCUCAACUCCAGAACUGCCUUUGAUACUGAGGAUCUUGAGUUCGGGAGAGGUGAGUGGAACUGCGAGUGUAGAGGUGAAAUUCGUAGAUAUUCGCAAGAACACCAGUGGCGAAGGCGGCUCACUGGCCCGAUACUGACGCUGAGGCACGAAAGCGUGGGGAGCAAACAGGG